rnacentral:rRNA from 1 species
GACGAACGCUGGCGGCGUGCUUAACACAUGCAAGUCGAACGGAAAGGCCCUGCUUUUGUGGGGUGCUCGAGUGGCGAACGGGUGAGUAACACGUGAGUAACCUGCCCUUGACUUUGGGAUAACUUCAGGAAACUGGGGCUAAUACCGGAUAGGAGCUCCUGCUGCAUGGUGGGGGUUGGAAAGUUUCGGCGGGUGGGGAUGGACUCGCGGCUUAUCAGCUUGUUGGUGGGGGAGUGGCUUACCAAGGUUUUGACGGGUAGCCGGCCUGAGAGGGUGACCGGCCACAUGGGGACUGAGAUACGGCCCAGACUCCUACGGGAGGCAGCAGUGGGGAAUAUUGCACAAUGGGCGGAAGCCUGAUGCAGCAACGCCGCGUGCGGGAUGACGGCCUUCGGGUUGUAAACCGCUUUCGCCUGUGACGAAGCGUGAGUGACGGUAAUGGGUAAAGAAGCACCGGCUAACUACGUGCCAGCAGCCGCCGUAACAC